rnacentral:rRNA from 1 species
AAACUGAAGAGUUUGAUCAUGGCUCAGAUUGAACGCUGGCGGCAGGCCUAACACAUGCAAGUCGAGCGGCAGCACGGGAAGCUUGCUUCCUGGUGGCGAGCGGCGGACGGGUGAGUAAUGCAUAGAAAUCUGCCCGGUAGUGGGGGAUAACCUGGGGAAACCCAGGCUAAUACCGCAUACGUCCUACGGGAGAAAGCAGGGGAUCUUCGGACCUUGCGCUAUCGGAUGAUCGGAUGAGUCUAUGUCGGAUUAGCUUGUUGGUGAGGUAAUGGCUCACCAAGGCGACGAUCCGUAGCUGGUCUGAGAGGAUGAUCAGCCACAUCGGGACUGAGACACGGCCCGAACUCCUACGGGAGGCAGCAGUGGGGAAUAUUGGACAAUGGGCGAAAGCCUGAUCCAGCCAUGCCGCGUGUGUGAAGAAGGCCUUCGGGUUGUAAAGCACUUUCAGUGGGGAAGAAAGCCUUGGGGCUAAUACCCUCGAGGAAGGACAUCACCCACAGAAGAAGCACCGGCUAACUCCGUGCCAGCAGCCGCGGUAAUACGGAGGGUGCGAGCGUUAAUCGGAAUUACUGGGCGUAAAGCGCGCGUAGGCGGUCUGAUAAGCCGGUUGUGAAAGCCCCGGGCUCAACCUGGGAACGGCAUCCGGAACUGUCAGGCUAGAGUGCAGGAGAGGAAGGUAGAAUUCCCGGUGUAGCGGUGAAAUGCGUAGAGAUCGGGAGGAAUACCAGUGGCGAAGGCGGCCUUCUGGACUGACACUGACGCUGAGGUGCGAAAGCGUGGGUAGCAAACAGGAUUAGAUACCCUGGUAGUCCACGCCGUAAACGAUGUCGACUAGCCGUUGGGCUCCUUGAGAGCUUUGUGGCGCAGUUAACGCGAUAAGUCGACCGCCUGGGGAGUACGGCCGCAAGGUUAAAACUCAAAUGAAUUGACGGGGGCCCGCACAAGCGGUGGAGCAUGUGGUUUAAUUCGAUGCAACGCGAAGAACCUUACCUACCCUUGACAUCGUGCGAACUUGGUAGAGAUGCCUUGGUGCCUUCGGGAACGCACAGACAGGUGCUGCAUGGCUGUCGUCAGCUCGUGUUGUGAAAUGUUGGGUUAAGUCCCGUAACGAGCGCAACCCUUGUCCUUAUUUGCCAGCGAGUCAUGUCGGGAACUCUAAGGAGACUGCCGGUGACAAACCGGAGGAAGGUGGGGACGACGUCAAGUCAUCAUGGCCCUUACGGGUAGGGCUACACACGUGCUACAAUGGCCGGUACAAAGGGUUGCGAAGCCGCGAGGUGGAGCUAAUCCCGAAAAGCUGGUCUCAGUCCGGAUCGGAGUCUGCAACUCGACUCCGUGAAGUCGGAAUCGCUAGUAAUCGUGAAUCAGAAUGUCACGGUGAAUACGUUCCCGGGCCUUGUACACACCGCCCGUCACACCAUGGGAGUGGACUGCACCAGAAGUGGUUAGCCUAACUUCGGAGGGCGAUCACCACGGUGUGGUUCAUGACUGGGGUGAAGUCGUAACAAGGUAGCCGUAGGGGAACCUGCGGCUGGAUCACCUCCUUA